GAAGCAGCAAUCAGUAAUUAGAGCACAGAUCCUUGAUAUUUGGAGGACAGGGUCCUUUUUGCCCACUCUGGCUCCUACAAGCUAUGUGCAAGCUGCUCCAAGAACUGGUACACAGCUGUGUGCCACAUGGCUAGGGCUGAAUGAGGGGAGAAGU